rnacentral:rRNA from 1 species
GAUGAACGCUGGCGGCGUGCCUAAUACAUGCAAGUCGAGCGAACAGACGAGGAGCUUGCUCCUCUGACGUUAGCGGCGGACGGGUGAGUAACACGUGGAUAACCUACCUAUAAGACUGGGAUAACUUCGGGAAACCGGAGCUAAUACCGGAUAAUAUAUUGAACCGCAUGGUUCAAUAGUGAAAGACGGCUUUGCUGUCACUUAUAGAUGGAUCCGCGCGGCAUUAGCUAGUUGGUAAGGUAACGGCUUACCAAGGCAACGAUGCGUAGCCGACCUGAGAGGGUGAUCGGCCACACGGGAACGGAGACACGGUCCAGACGCCUACGGGAGGCAGCAGUAGGGAAUCGUCCGCAAUAGUCGAAAGCAUGACGGAGCAACGCCGCGUGAGUGAUGAAGGUCUUCGGAUCGUAAAACUCUGUUACUAGGGAAAAACAAAUGUGGAAGUAACUGUGCACGUCUUGACGGUACCUAAUCAGAAAGCCACGGCUAACUACGUG